GUCACAGCUUCUCAUUUUCAGUAUAGCCUCACAAACUCAUGCCUAUGUUGGUCAUGAGUGGCUUUGGUAGGAUGGGGAAUUUUUAUUCAGCAUCCAUAUUGUCUUGUCCUCCUUCCACCUCCAACCCCCCAAAAAAGGGCCCGAGGAAGCAGUUGUGGGACAAUAAUUAUGAUAAUCGUAAUAAUAGCCAACACUUCAUGACACUUUCUCCAAGUCAGGCACAGUUCUGAGUGCUCUACUCAUGAAUCUAUGGACUAGGCACUAUUGAUACCCUGUUUUAUAGGUCAAGAUACCAAGGCAGCUUGAUCAAAGUCACCCAGCUGG
rnacentral:lncRNA from 1 species